CUGACUGUGGUAAGGUAGCAUAAUAACUAGUUGUUUAAUUGACAUCUGGAAUGAAGGACCUGACGAAAAAUUUAUCUUCUUUUUAAAAAUUGAAAUUAAUUAAUAUAUAAAAAAGUCUAUAUAAAUUAAGAGGACGAGAAGACCCUAAAACCUUUUCAUAGGAAAACCUUUAGCCUUUGUUCACUGGGGAGGUGAAUUAUAAUAACAUGAUUUUUUAAAACAAAAUGAAUGAUAAAAAAUAAAUAAAACUUUAUGCAGAAAGGUACUUUAGGGAUAACAGCAUAACUUUUAUUUAAAGACCUCAUUGACAUAAAAAUUUGUGACCUCGAUGUUGAAUUGAUAAAACACUAUUAAGCAACAAUAAUAGAAGU
rnacentral:rRNA from 1 species